GUUGCUGGAGGUAUCAGAAGUGCGAAUGCUGACAUAAGUAACGAUAAUGCGGGUGAAAAACCCGCACGCCGGAAGACCAAGGGUUCCUGUCCAACGUUAAUCGGGGCAGGGUGAGUCGACCCCUAAGGCGAGGCUGAAAAGCGUAGUCGAUGGGAAACAGGUUAAUAUUCCUGUACUUGGUGUUACUGCGAAGGGGGGACGGAGAAGGCUAGGCUGGCCGGGCGACGGUUGUCCCGGUUUAAGCGUGUAGGGGGAGUGACCAGGUAAAUCCGGUUGCUUAUCAACCCUGAGGCGUGAUGACGAUGCACCACGGUGCAGAAGCAGUUGAUGCCAUGCUUCCAGGAAAAGCCUCUAAGCAUCAGGUAACAUUAAAUCGUACCCCAAACCGACACAGGUGGUCAGGUAGAGAAUACUCAGGCGCUUGAGAGAACUCGGGUGAAGGAACUAGGCAAAAUGGUGCCGUAACUUCGGGAGAAGGCACGCUGGCGUUAGGUGAAAGGACUAGCUCCUGGAGCUGAAGCCAGUCGCAGAUACCAGCUGGCUGCAACUGUUUAAUAAAAACACAGCACUGUGCAAACACGAAAGUGGACGUAUACGGUGUGACGCCUGCCCGGUGCUGGAAGGUUAAUUGAUGGGGUCAGCCGCAAGGCGAAGCUCUUGAUCGAAGCCCCAGUAAACGGCGGCCGUAACUAUAACGGUCCUAAGGUAGCGAAAUUCCUUGUCGGGUAAGUUCCGACCUGCACGAAUGGCGUAAUGAUGGCCAGGCUGUCUCCACCCGAGACUCAGUGAAAUUGAACUCGCUGUGAAGAUGCAGUGUACCCGCGGCAAGACGGAAAGACCCCGUGAACCUUUACUAUAGCUUGACACUGAACAUUGAGCCUUGAUGUGUAGGAUAGGUGGGAGGCCUUGAAGUGUGGACGCCAGUCUGCAUGGAGCCAACCUUGAAAUACCACCCUUUAAUGUUUGAUGUUCUAACUCGGCCCCAUGAUCUGGGGUGAGGACAGUGUCUGGUGGGUAGUUUGACUGGGGCGGUCUCCUCCCAAAGAGUAACGGAGGAGCACGAAGGUUAGCUAAUCACGGUCGGACAUCGUGAGGUUAGUGCAAAGGCAUAAGCUAGCUUGACUGCGAGAGUGACGGCUCGAGCAGGUACGAAAGUAGGUCUUAGUGAUCCGGUGGUUCUGAAUGGAAGGGCCAUCGCUCAACGGAUAAAAGGUACUCCGGGGAUAACAGGCUGAUACCGCCCAAGAGUUCAUAUCGACGGCGGUGUUUGGCACCUCGAUGUCGGCUCAUCACAUCCUGGGGCUGAAGUAGGUCCCAAGGGUAUGGCUGUUCGCCAUUUAAAGUGGUACGCGAGCUGGGUUUAGAACGUCGUGAGACAGUUCGGUCCCUAUCUGCCGUGGGCGUUGGAAGAUUGAGAGGGGCUGCUCCUAGUACGAGAGGACCGGAGUGGACGAAUCACUGGUGUUCGGGUUGUCAUGCCAAUGGCAUUGCCCGGUAGCUAAAUUCGGAAGAGAUAACCGCUGAAAGCAUCUAAGCGGGAAACUUGCCUCGAGAUGAGUCUUCCCUGGGGCUUAAAGCCCCCUGAAGGAACGUUAAAGACUAUGACGUUGA
rnacentral:rRNA from 1 species